AAUCCAUUCAAAUAAGAUUGAUUUUAUUAUGACAUACUAAUUUUUCCAUUCAUUACCUUUGAGGAUCAGUCGUGGUCUUCUACACUCUACCAAGAGUCUGGCUGAAUUUGUUGUUUCAUCCAAAUGUGUAAAAGAUCACAGUUGCUCUUAAAAGCCGAGUACUCUACCAUCGGGUUAGCAACCCAGAUAAAAAAGGAUCUUAGAUACAAUCAAAUUCCAAAAAUCAUUGGAAUUACACAGCGCGCUUAUGUCAAAACAUUGAACUAG
rnacentral:rRNA from 1 species